rnacentral:misc_RNA from 1 species
UUUCCGUAGGUGAACCUGCGGAAGGAUCAUUAGUGAAUUUUGGGCGUCUCUUCACUGAGAGCCCGUCUUACACUCUUUACCCUGUGAACUCGUCAUCCGGGCUUAGCUGCCCAGAUGUAAAACCUUUUACCUUUUUUUAACGCAAGUUGAUGAAUGUAAACACUAUAACAAAACAAAACUUUCAACAACGGAUCUCUUGGCUCUCACAUCGAUGAAGAACGCAGC